rnacentral:rRNA from 1 species
UGCCAGCCGCCGCGGUAAUACGGAGGGGGUUAGCGUUGUUCGGAAUUACUGGGCGUAAAGCGCACGUAGGCGGAUUAGUAAGUUAGGGGUGAAAUCCCGGGGCUCAACCCCGGAAUUGCCUUCAAUACUGCUAGUCUUGAGUUCGAGAGAGGGUGGUGGAAUUCCCAGUGUAGAGGUGAAAUUCGUAGAUAUUGGGAAGAACACCAGUGGCGAAGGCGGCCACCUGGCCAGAUACUGACGCUGAGGUGCGAAAGCGUGGGGAGCAAACAGGAUUAGAUA